rnacentral:rRNA from 1 species
GACGAACGCUGGCGGCGUGCCUAAUACAUGCAAGUCGAGCGCGUGAAACAUUUCAGAUCUCUUCGGAGUGACGAAUUGUGGAUCGAGCGGCGGAUGGGUGAGUAACACGUGGGCAACCUGCCUGUAAGAUCGGGAUAACUUGCGGAAACGUGAGCUAAUACCGGAUAAAGCAGCGCAUCUCCUGAUGUGUUGGUGAAAGACGGCUAUGCUGUCACUUACAGAUGGGCCCGCGGCGCAUUGGCUAGUUGGUGGGGUAAUGGCCUACCAAGGCGACGAUGCGUAGCCGACCUGAGAGGGUGAUCGGCCACACUGGGACUGAGACACGGCCCAGACUCCUACGGGAGGCAGCAGUAGGGAAUCUUCCGCAAUGGACGAAAGUCUGACGGAGCAACGCCGCGUGAGUGAUGAAGGUUUUCGGAUCGUAAAACUCUGUUGUCAGGGAAGAACAAGUUUGAGAGUAACUGCUCAGACCUUGACGGUACCUGACCAGAAAGCCACGGCUAACUACGUGCCAGCAGCCGCGGUAAUACGUAGGUGGCAAGCGUUGUCCGGAAUUAUUGGGCGUAAAGCGCUCGCAGGCGGUCUUUUAAGUCUGAUGUGAAAUCUUGCGGCUUAACCGUAAGCGGUCAUUGGAAACUGGAGGACUUGAGUACAGAAGAGGAGAGUGGAAUUCCACGUGUAGCGGUGAAAUGCGUAGAGAUGUGGAGGAACACCAGUGGCGAAGGCGACUCUCUGGUCUGUAACUGACGCUGAGGAGCGAAAGCGUGGGGAGCAAACAGG